GCCAGACAGAGGCAGCCAGGCUGUGUCUCUCAUUGCUGUAAAUGUCUGCUGUGGAUGCUUUAAGAAUCUCUGCUUCAUGCAACCUUCCUAAACAAACUGCGACCUUCAGAGGCAAGAGGGAGAGAAAGAAAUCCAAUGAUUGAAACUGUCACAGAUGCUCAGAGUGGAGAGAAAGCUGAAGGUCAUCUAGUCCAAUGAUAGAGGAUAAAUGAAUA